CGGCGUGCCUAAUACAUGCAAGUCGAGCGCAGGAAACAAGUAGAUCCCUUCCGGGGUGACGCUUGUGGAAUGAGCGGCGGACAGGUGAGUAACACGUGGGCAACCUACCUUGUAGACUGGGAUAACUCCGGGAAACCGGAGCUAAUACGGGAUGAUCAUUUGAAUCGCAUGAUUGAAAUGUAAAAGUGGGGUGUAAUCCUCACACUACGAGAUGGGCCCGCGGCGCAUUAGCUAGUUGGUAAGGUAAUGGCUUACCAAGGCAACGAUGCGUAGCCGACCUGAGAGGGUGAUCGGCCACACUGGAACUGAGACACGGUCCAGACUCCUACGGGAGGCAGCAGUAGGGAAUCAUCCGCAAUGGGCGAAAGCCUGACGGUGCAACGCCGCGUGAACGAUGAAGGUUUUCGGAUCGUAAAGUUCUGUUAUGAGGGAAGAACAAGUGCCGUUCGAAUAGGGCGGCACCUUGACGGUACCUCACGAGAAAGCCCCGGCUAACUACGUG
rnacentral:rRNA from 1 species